rnacentral:rRNA from 2 species
GCCUACGGGGGGCAGCAGUGGGGAAUAUUGGACAAUGGGCGCAAGCCUGAUCCAGCCAUGCCGCGUGAGUGAUGACGGCCUUAGGGUUGUAAAGCUCUUUUACCUGGGAAGAUAAUGACGGUACCAGGAGAAUAAGCCCCGGCUAACUUCGUGCCAGCAGCCGCGGUAAUACGAAGGGGGCUAGCGUUGUUCGGAAUCACUGGGCGUAAAGCGCACGUAGGCGGAUCUUUAAGUCAGGGUGAAAUCCCGGCGCUCAACUCCCGAACUGCCUUUGAUACUGGGGAUCUCGAGUCCGGAAGAGGUAAGUGGAACUGCGAGUGUAGAGGUGAAAUUCGUAGAUAUUCGCAAGAACACCAGUGGCGAAGGCGGCUUACUGGUCCGGUACUGACGCUGAGGUGCGAAAGCGUGGGGAGCAAACAGGAUUAGAUACCCCAGUAGUCA